rnacentral:lncRNA from 1 species
UUUUUUUUUUUUUUUUUUUUUUUUUUUAAUUAACACUGCAAGGGGAAAGUGGCAGGAUGUGAGAACACAGCACAGCAGUAAGGUAGGGUGAUGUAUCCUGGCCUGGGCAUCCUGAUGUCAGCCCAUAUUUCACUUGCACACUCCAUAGCCUUGUGAACAGCAGAGGAUGGUACCAAACACAUCUCCUCACUCUUACCCCUUUCUUCCAAGAAAGGAGACAACAGUGUCUAGAAGAGCACAUGUGUCAUUUCUUACAUUGUGUCUCUUUUCCCUUCCCCAUUCCUGGUGGAAGAAAACUCAAAAGAUCUUUUGACUUGAAUAAUUGCCCAUUUAGGAAAGCCAGACUGUUCACCACAUAAUUUUUUUAAAUAAGUUAAAUCAUUGUUUUCAUGGGGUUGAUUCCCAGCUUAUCUCAAGAGUUCUCUAAGCAUAUUGUUGAAAACCAGUGUAUCACUCUUAGGGUCUUUUCUUCCAAGCAGCCACCUCUUCCUGUGAAUUAUUUCAGCAGUACCUUUGUGACAGUGUUUUCAAAGCACCCUCCAAGUUCUCAGCUUCUAUGUACUGUCCACCAAAUGAGUGAAGAAUAGGCAAGAGGGAAGAGAACCUUGCUGACAACUAUGGAAAAGGGAAAUAUGCUCCAUAGAAGCAUCAAUGACCUAGAAUAAAAUGAGCUAUUCAGAAUUUUGCCCUGACGGAGUGAAGAUUCCCAGCAUGUUAGGCAAGAUAGAGGUGCACCUUGUUUGGUUACACAGUUUUGUUCUAAAAUCCUAUAGAGGACUGAAACAACAGUCUUCCCACUUCUACAAGCAAACUAGGAAAAGGAACUCCUCUGCUUAAAGGUCCCUCAGGAUAUUUGCCUGAAAAGAAAAACAACUUAGAAACCCUACGUUCUCUCCCACAAUGAUGUAUCCUUCUAGAGCACAUGCCAAGUGCUCGUUUGAACAUCUUUGCCCUCUAAGAACCUAGAUCCAGCUAUAGGCACUGCUACCAGUAGAGAAGUAUGGAAGCCAGUGGUAAGGAAGACGUCUCUCCUUUCACAUUUCAUGCAGCAAUGACUCCCAGUUCUUCCUCAGCAGACUACACCACAGAGUUCUGUUCAGUACCAGGAGACUCAAUGCCAGAAAAGUGCCAGAAAAACCCAGCUGAUAGUGGGAUAAGAACACCUUCAAGGCUAAUUGAGCAAUAAGAUCUGCAAUACCAUUCAAAGGCAUUCCAAUCUUUGUGUUUUUUUGUUUGUUUUUUGUUUUUUGCUUUUUAGGGCCGCACCCACAGCACAUGGAAGUUCCCGGGCUAGGGCUGGCAGCUGUAGCUCUGAUUUCACCCCUAGCCUGGGAACCUCCAAGUGCCACGGGUGUGGCCCUAAAAAGCCAAAAAAAAAAAAAAAAAACAAAAAUAAAAACUAAAAAUUAAAAAAAAAAAAAACAACUGGCCCUUUUUUACCAAUUGAAUCUUUGUAAGAACAGAAAUGCAGCUUUAGAAGUAAUUCAAAAAAAUAAAAUAGAAAUAAUUCAGAGCCCACAUAUCCUUACCAAUCUCCAGACCACUAUUAUUCAUCUCAGAAUGCUUGCAGAUAUGCAAAAGAUUGGAACAUUAGAGAUAGAACUGUCCUGCAUUUAAGAAAAAAAAGGAACUUUUAAACAGUAGUUAUCCUAGGCCUUUGACAAGAGGCAAAUAUGCUCUAAAACUCAUUCUUGGAGAAAAUUUACAUCUUUUCUCAGUGCCUUUGAGAUAUAAACUUUCAACUCUGUCUUUUCUAGGACCUGAGUCUUUGAAAUGUAGACUUCAGGGAGGUGAUUCUUGUCAGAAGUUUAAAAAAAAAUUUAAAAAGAGCUAUUUGGAAACUAGACAAAUGAAAAAUCUUCCAGAUCUUUUCCACAAAUACUAGUAAAAAGCUUUAGCCAUCUGAGCAGAUAACCUCAACUUUUUCUAUCUGCCAGAAACGCAAUUUGGAUCCAACUGUUCUUUUCUAAAUUAGUUAGCUCUAAAUUAUUGUACCUAUAUCAUUGCUAAAAUUUAAAAAUGAAAGCUAUAUCUCUAUUCGUGUGUCUACGUGUAAGAGAUGUGUGAUACUUCUCUACCUCUAGAUGGUAAAAGAUUUAUAAAAAGUGUCUUUAAUUGGCUUAAAAAUAAGUGUUUAUAUAAAUUAAGUACCCCGAAACUCUCAGAAACAAAAUAGAAACUAACACAAAUGUUUUUCAAGUUCACAUGAUCUGAGAUAAUCUUCAGUAAAUAAAAACUAGUUUAAGUUUGAUUAAGACAGGAGUUCCCUUGUGACUCAGUGGGUUAAGGAUCCAGCAUUGUCACUGCAGUGGCUUUGGUUACUGCAGGGAUAUGGGUUGGAUCCCUGGCCAUGCUACAUCCUACAUGCCACAGGUGCGGCCAAAAAAAAAAAAAAAAAAGAGUUCUCAUUGUGGCUUAGCAUGUUAAGAACUCAACACAUAGUAUCCAUGAGGAUGAGGGUUCGAUCCCUGGCCUCGUUCAAUGGGUUAAGGACCCGGCGUUGUCUCAAGCUGUGGCUUAGGUUGCAGAUGCGGCUUGGAUCUGACGUUCUACGGCAGCUUCAAUUUGACCUCUAGCCUGGGUAUUCCACACAUAUGGCUGUAAAAAGGAAAGAAAAAAAAAA